rnacentral:lncRNA from 1 species
GUAACAAAAACUGACUGGUAGACUCCUUAACUCCCUGACUUUUCCGUACAUUUAAUCAGUUAAGGGACGGUGAACCCUGAACUCUUUCAUCACCUGUGAAGAGUUUCGGAGUAAGUUCUGGAGGAGGUGGGCCUGGAUUGACCUAGCGGUCCACUUUCCCUCUUUAACUCAGAGCCCUCCUCUACCAGAUGGGGAUAAUAAAACGCACAACUUCUCGUGGUUCUUGUGGACAUUAAAUGAGAUAAUACCCCUCAAGUUCUGAGCCCAGGUCUGAUGUAUAGUAAGAGCAGAGUAACUGUCAACUGUCACCAGGUUAGCCUUGAGUAAACACAGAAUGGCCAAGCAAGUCUGGAGGAGUAUGGGUCUCUGAAAUAGGGAAUCACUGCAAGAAGUUCAAACAAUAAUUGCUGUCCCAUCAGCCCCGGUCGAAAGGAAUCAACAACAGAGAAAAAAAAGUAGUUUCAGCUACUCUCCAGGUAUCGACCCGCUACCUCAUCAGAAAAGCAGAACAUUCAGAGCUAAGAGGAGGUCAGCAGCUACUCGUGUAUUCCUCUUACUUCACAAUGAAGAGGUGGUGAUAUAUUCAUGAGAGAGCAAGAGAUCAGAGUUGGCAUCGGCAGAAUCAGGACUAGAACUCCAGACUGGAAGUCAGUACCCGGUCUCCCGACUCUCUCUAUACCAGGUCAAGAUGGACCAGGUGGAGGGACCAGAACAAGAGUGAGGAGCGUGAGAAGCCAGCUGUUCCAGCACACCAGCCUUCUGAGUCUAGGCAGCAUCAACCGCCAGACACACAAACAAAUGAAUCUUGAGAUGAUUCAUGCCAAGCUUCAGGCCAUCCAACUGGAACCCCAGACAUCAUGAAGUAGAGACAAACUGUCCCUGCCAUGCCCUGUCUUAUGUCCUGAACAGAAUAAUAAAUGGGUAUUUAACAACGCUAAGCCUCA